AGUGAACGCUGGCGGUAGGCCUAACACAUGCAAGUCGAACGGCAGCACAGGAGAGCUUGCUCUCUGGGUGGCGAGUGGCGGACGGGUGAGGAAUACAUUGGAAUCUACUCUGUCGUGGGGGAUAACGUAGGGAAACUUACGCUAAUACCGCAUACGACCUACGGGUGAAAGCAGGGAAUCUUCGGACCUUGCGCGAUUGAAUGAGCCGAUGUCGGAUUAGCUAGUUGGCGGGGUAAAGGCCCACCAAGGCGACGAUCCGUAGCUGGUCUGAGAGGAUGAUCAGCCACACUGGAACUGAGACACGGUCCAGACUCCUACGGGAGGCAGCAGUGGGGAAUAUUGGACAAUGGGCGCAAGCCUGAUCCAGCCAUACCGCGUGGGUGAAGAAGGCCUUCGGGUUAUAAAGCCCUUUUGUUGGGAAAGAAAUCCAGCUGGCUAAUACCCGGUUGGGAUGACGGUACCCAAAGAAUAAGCACCGGCUAACUUCGUGCCAGCCGCCGCCGUAA
rnacentral:rRNA from 1 species